AGGUAUGGCAGGAAAACUGGAACAGACCAGUACACAUCGGAAGAAAAGGGCGCUUUAAAUACUGAUUAGAAGGAGUAGGCAUCUUAAGAGACAGACUAAAGGGACUCUUGCCUCAUCAGACUGAGUUACUGUUCUGAGCAUGAAGGUGAUUGGAGAAGAAACACAGGAUGGCAGUCAGAAGAUGGGUCACCUUCUCUCUGUGGGGCUCAGGCAAUGUCACAUGGAUAUCCUCAACAUAAUUCUUACAGGAUAACAAAAGGGAUAUCCUCAGCAUAAUUCUUACAGGAUACUAAAAGUGCCCUAGAACACAUGUUUCCUACA